AUCCUGGUUGCAUGUGGACUGUAGCAUGUGUAGUACAUAAUGAUCUUAUCAACAUCUUGUGAAGAUUCAGGCAUGCUUCUUCUCUUCAAACUAGCCAGGAA
rnacentral:miRNA from 1 species